CCAUGUGAAGCUCAGUGGUACAGCACCUAUCUUAUAUGCAUGAGGCUCUGGGUUCAAUUUCCAGCACCAUGGA
rnacentral:tRNA from 1 species